rnacentral:lncRNA from 1 species
UGAUAAUGUAAGCAUAGAAUAGAACAAAGGUAACCAAGCAUUUAAAUUAUAUAUGUGAGUGAAUUGGGUGGGAUAACUCACAUGCCUAGUUACCACUGUUCUGAUAAUGUAAGCAUAGAAUGGAACAAAGGUAACCAAGCGUUUAAAUUAUAUAUGUGAGUGAAUUAGGUGGGAUAACUCACAUGCCUAAUUACCACUGUUCUGAUAAUGUAAGCAUAGAAUGGAACAAAGGUAACCAAGCAUUUAAAUUAUAUAUGUGAGUGAACUGGGUGGGAUAACUCACAUGCCUAGUUACCACUGUUCUGAUAAUAUAAGCAUAGAAUGGAACAAAGGUAAGCAAGCAUUUAGAUUAUAUAUGUGAGUGAAUUAGGUGGGAUAACUCACAUGCCUAAUUACUGUACGACUGUUCUGUAAUGUAAUAGAAUGAAACCACGGUUGAUGUAAGUUAGCUAACCUAUCAUUUGACCCAUUAACGAUAUUAACUGGACUGAAACACUGUACCACUGAGUAAAAUAAGAUGCACUGUACUACUUGAAGGUAAAGUAAAAUAAGGUGCAAUGUACUAUUGAAACAUGUGAGUGAUUUGGACAACAGUCGCAUAAACGCGCAUUAGCUUAUUACGUACACACGUAAAAAUGCGAAGUUGUUACAGGUCUGCAAACAAGUUGUUACAAAUCUGUUCACAAAUUGUGUUCGCACUGCUUGUUCCUACUGUAGUUGUUGUAACAAGCUGAUAACAACUUAUACAAGCUUAGAGGCGUUAU